GUUCGCGGGUGGCGUAGUUCUUGCGUUUUUAUUGGAGCUGCGUUCAAGGGCUGCUAUUGUUGCUGUCAAACUUUCACGUUCACUAUGACGAAUCAGCCGGCCCCUCAAUGCCAUGGCAACGGUGUGGUGCCGCCGAAGCGGUUGCGCUCGCCGACGCAGCCGACUUGCAGUGCAUUGUUUACGCAGUGGAAGGCUUGUUUUCUGUCUCAGAAGAAGCCAAAAGUGCAGAAGCCACUAGAACACCCAUGGCGGCAAUUCACCUAACCGGCCCCGUCACUUUUUGUUGGCCGCAAGUGCCUUUCUGCUGCAUUGUGGUGUACUUCUCCCUCCUCUAACGAUUUCACAAAGAAUUGGAUACAGAGGGAGCCUCUAUACCAGCUGCUGCAAUCCUCCUGCUGCAGAAUUGUGGAUGCAUUGAGAACAACAACCACAGCACAGUGCCUUUGAAAUCAAUCAACUA